rnacentral:rRNA from 1 species
UACGAAGGGGGCUAGCGUUGCUCGGAAUCACUGGGCGUAAAGCGCGCGUAGGCGGCUUUUUAAGUCAGGGGUGAAAUCCCGGAGCUCAACUCCAGAACUGCCUUUGAUACUGAGAAGCUUGAGUCCGGGAGAGGUGAGUGGAACUGCGAGUGUAGAGGUGAAAUUCGUAGAUAUUCGCAAGAACACCAGUGGCGAAGGCGGCUCACUGGCCCGGUACUGACGCUGAGGUGCGAAAGCGUGGGGAGCAAACAGG